CUAAGGGAGGGAGGGAGUAACACAGUAAGGGAGGGGUGACACAGUAAGGGAGGGGCUGGCAGAGUGACUGAGGGAGGGGGUGGCAUAGUCACUCUGCCAGCCCCUCCCUUAAUGUGUCACCCCUUCCUUACGGUGUCUCCACCUCCUUCAGUCA